rnacentral:rRNA from 1 species
AUUGAACGCUGGCGGCAGGCCUAACACAUGCAAGUCGAGCGGAUGAGAGGAGCUUGCUUCUCGAUUCAGCGGCGGACGGGUGAGUAAUGCCUAGGAAUCUGCCUAGUAGUGGGGGACAACGUUUCGAAAGGAACGCUAAUACCGCAUACGUCCUACGGGAGAAAGUGGGGGAUCUUCGGACCUCACGCUAUUAGAUGAGCCUAGGUCGGAUUAGCUAGUUGGUAGGGUAAAGGCCUACCAAGGCGACGAUCCGUAACUGGUCUGAGCGGAUGAUCAGUCACACUGGAACUGGGACACGGGCCAGACUCCUACGGGAGGCAGCAGUGGGGAAUAUUGGACAAUGGGCGCAAGCCUGAUCCAGCUAUGCCGCGUGUGUGAAGAAGGCCCUCGGGUCGUAAAGCACUUUAAGUUGGGAGGAAGGGCUUACAGCGAAUACCUGUGAGUUUUGACGUUACCGACAGAAUAAGCACCGGCUAACUUCGUGCCAGCCGCCGCGGUAA